AUGCUCGCUUCGGCAGCACAUAUACUAAAAUUGGAACGAUACAGAGAAGAUUAGCAUGGCCCCUGGGCAAAGUCCACUUCUUAAAACAGAUGUGUACGAGUCAAAA